rnacentral:rRNA from 1 species
AGAAACGAAACAGUGAUGUGGAGUAAAACUCAAAAAGACGGUCCCAGUUCGAAUUGAAGGCUGAAAUUCGCCUUCAUGAAGUCGGAAUUGCUAGUAAUGGCAGGUCAGCAUACUGCCGUGAAUACGUUCCCGGGCCUUGUACACACCGCCCGUCACACCAUGAGAGUUGGAGAUACCCGAAGCCUGUGAGCUAACUUUUAGAGGCAGCAGUCGAAGGUAGAAUCAAUGAUUGGGGUGAAGUCGUAACAAGGUAGC